UACAAUGUAUCUCAGCCAUCCCGAU
rnacentral:piRNA from 1 species